rnacentral:tmRNA from 2 species
UACGUUUAAUUUUUUUUUUUUUUAUUUAUUAUUGAAUUGCUUAAUAAGCUAUAGCAAUAAACGUUUGAAUUGUGAACCGAGACGGACCCGGGGGCGGUACCCGGCGCCUCCACCAAAAAAAUAUAACGGGGGCGAAAUAGGAUCGACGUGCGUGGAAUUUUCAAAAACUUUGCUCGGAAUGGUACCAACGUUAUCGGACCAA